rnacentral:tRNA from 1 species
AGGGGAUAUGGCAAAU